CGAGAGGCCGUAGCAAUACGGUCGUACAGUGGCGAACGGGUGAGGAAGACGUGGGUAACCUACCCUCGAGUGGGGAAUAACCCGCCGAAAGGCGGGCUAAUACCGCGUACGCUUCUGUUCCUUCGGGGACGGAAGGAAAGCUGUGCCGUGGGCAUGGCGCUCAAGGAUGGGCUCACGCCCUAUCAGCUUGUUGGUAGGGUAACGGCCUACCAAGGCAACGACGGGUAGCUGGUCUGAGAGGACGAUCAGCCACACUGGCACUGCGACACGGGCCAGACUCCUACGGGAGGCAGCAGUGAGGAAUAUUGCGUAAUGGGCGAAAGCCUGACGCAGCGACGCCGCGUGGGGGAUGAAGGUCUUCGGAUUGUAAACCCCUUUCAGGAGGGAAGAUGGAACGGGCAACCGUUCGGACGGUACCUCCAGAAGCAGCCACGGCUAACUUCGUGCCAGCAGCCGCGGUAAUACGAAGGUGGCAAGCGUUGUUCGGAUUUACUGGGCGUAAAGGGAGCGUAGGCGGUUGGGUAAGCCCUUUGGGAAAGCUCCCGGCUUAACCGGGAAAGGUCGAAGGGGACUGCCUGGCUAGAGGGUGGGAGAGGAGCGCGGA
rnacentral:rRNA from 1 species